rnacentral:tRNA from 1 species
GGUAGUAUGGCUGAUUUAAAGCGGUAAACUGUAAAUUUACACAUAGGCAACUCCUUGCUACCA